rnacentral:rRNA from 1 species
AUUGAACGCUGGCGGCAGGCCUAACACAUGCAAGUCGAGCGAGCGGCGGACGGGUGAGUAAUGUAUGGGGACUGCCCGAUAGAGGGGGAUAACUACUGGAAACGGUGGCUAAUACCGCAUACUAUCGGAUAACCCAUAUGGGAUUAGAUAGUAGGUGGGGUAAAGGCUCACCUAGGCGACGCGCUCUAGCUGGUCUGAGAGGAUGAUCAGCAACACUGGGAUGGGGACACGUCCCAGACUCCUACGGAGGGAGCAGAGGGUAAGAUUGCAAAAUGGGCGAAAGCCUGAUGCAGCCAGGCCGCGUGUAUGAAGAAGGCCUUAGGGUUGUAAAGUACUUUCAGCGGGGAGACGUUACCCGCAGAAGAAGCACCGGCUAACUCGGUGCCAGCCGCGGCGGAAAUC